UGGCUCAGGACGAACGCUGGCGGCGUGCCUAAUACAUGCAAGUCGUACGCUUCUUUUUCCACCGGAGCUUGCUCCACCGGAAAAAGAAGAGUGGCGAACGGGUGAGUAACACGUGGGUAACCURCCCAUCAGAAGGGGAUAACACUUGGAAACAGGUGCUAAUACCGUAUAACAAUCGAAACCGCAUGGUUUUGAUUUGAAAGGCGCUUUCGGGUGUCGCUGAUGGAUGGACCCGCGGUGCAUUAGCUAGUUGGUGAGGUAACGGCUCACCAAGGCUACGAUGCAUAGCCGACCUGAGAGGGUGAUCGGCCACAUUGGGACUGAGACACGGCCCAAACUCCUACGGGAGGCAGCAGUAGGGAAUCUUCGGCAAUGGACGAAAGUCUGACCGAGCAACGCCGCGUGAGUGAAGAAGGUUUUCGGAUCGUAAAACUCUGUUGUUAGAGAAGAACAAGGAUGAGAGUAACUGUUCAUCCCUUGACGGUAUCUAACCAGAAAGCCACGGCUAACUACGUGCCAGCAGCCGCGGUAAUACGUAGGUGGCAAGCGUUGUCCGGAUUUAUUGGGCGUAAAGCGAGCGCAGGCGGUUUCUUAAGUCUGAUGUGAAAGCCCCCGGCUCAACCGGGGAGGGUCAUUGGAAACUGGGAGACUUGAGUGCAGAAGAGGAGAGUGGAAUUCCAUGUGUAGCGGUGAAAUGCGUAGAUAUAUGGAGGAACACCAGUGGCGAAGGCGGCUCUCUGGUCUGUAACUGACGCUGAGGCUCGAAAGCGUGGGGAGCAAACAGGAUUAGAUACCCUGGUAGUCCACGCCGUAAACGAUGAGUGCUAAGUGUUGGAGGGUUUCCGCCCUUCAGUGCUGCAGCUAACGCAUUAAGCACUCCGCCUGGGGAGUACGACCGCAAGGUUGAAACUCAAAGGAAUUGACGGGGGCCCGCACAAGCGGUGGAGCAUGUGGUUUAAUUCGAAGCAACGCGAAGAACCUUACCAGGUCUUGACAUCCUUUGACCACUCUAGAGAUAGAGCUUCCCCUUCGGGGGCAAAGUGACAGGUGGUGCAUGGUUGUCGUCAGCUCGUGUCGUGAGAUGUUGGGUUAAGUCCCGCAACGAGCGCAACCCUUAUUGUUAGUUGCCAUCAUUCAGUUGGGCACUCUAGCAAGACUGCCGGUGACAAACCGGAGGAAGGUGGGGAUGACGUCAAAUCAUCAUGCCCCUUAUGACCUGGGCUACACACGUGCUACAAUGGGAAGUACAACGAGUCGCGAAGUCGCGAGGCUAAGCUAAUCUCUUAAAGCUUCUCUCAGUUCGGAUUGUAGGCUGCAACUCGCCUACAUGAAGCCGGAAUCGCUAGUAAUCGCGGAUCAGCACGCCGCGGUGAAUACGUUCCCGGGCCUUGUACACACCGCCCGUCACACCACGAGAGUUUGUAACACCCGAAGUCGGUGAGGUAACCUUUUGGAGCCAGCCGCCUAAGGUGGGAUAGAUGAUUGGGGUGAAGUCGUAACAAGGUAGCCGUCG
rnacentral:rRNA from 1 species